GACGAACGCUGGCGGCGUGCUUAACACAUGCAAGUCGAACGGAAAGGCCCUGCUUUUGUGGGGUGCUCGAGUGGCGAACGGGCGAGUAACACGUGAGUAACCUGCCCUUGACUUUGGGAUAACUUCAGGAAACUGGGGCUAAUACCGGAUAGGAGCUCCUGCUGCAUGGUGGGGGUUGGAAAGUUUCGGCGGUUGGGGAUGGACUCGCGGCUUAUCAGCUUGUUGGUGGGGUGGUGGCUUACCAAGGCUUUGACGGGUAGCCGGCCUGAGAGGGUGACCGGCCACAUUGGGACUGAGAUACGGCCCAGACUCCUACGGGAGGCAGCAGUGGGGAAUAUUGCACAAUGGGCGGAAGCCUGAUGCAGCAACGCCGCGUGCGGGAUGACGGCCUUCGGGUUGUAAACCGCUUUCGCCUGUGACGAAGCGUGAGUGACGGUAAUGGGUAAAGAAGCACCGGCUAACUACGUG
rnacentral:rRNA from 1 species